UCUCAUUUUAACAUUGCAGGGAGAAAAACCAUAAAUAUCAGAGUGAACCGGAGCAACUUGCGGAAAACGACGGUGGUACCGGUGUUUGCGGUCACCGCAGCGGUGGUCAACAGUCGCACUCAAGUGUUGGCUAGGGUUUCGGUUGCCGUUUCAGGCAGAAACCGAUGGUGACGGCGGUUAGGGUAUCACCACAGGCGUUUCUUUUUUCCGGUGUGAGUACACGUGCUCGCCAUUCAACACCUCAUCUCAUCCCAUCUGCUUCUUGAUUCAGAUUAAGAGAGACUAGCAUGAGAGAAAGAUAACUGUUCUGGAAAUCGAAGCUUCGUUAAGCUACAAAUUUAUUGAGAUUAAGAGAGACUAGCAGGAGAAACAGAAGGGCCGGUUUCCUCACAGCGGUCACCGGUCACCGAUCUUCGGUCGGAUUUCGAUUUAUGCAACCAUUGUGGCUGAGUUAGGGUUGGCGGUGAACAUUGACCGCAAUCAUGGCUGAAUUAGGGUUCUUCUAUAUUCCUGCCAGAAGCUAGGGUUUAGAUGUUCUUCCUGCGACACAGUGGAGAAACAGAGUUUUCAACAUUCAAGGAUCAAGCGGCUGAAUGAGACACUCAGGCAAGCUUUGCAACGGCUUUACAUGACCCGGUCCUCUUAUAGAGAUGAACUCGUACAAGGUUAUCAAGAAGGCAUUCAACAAGUGAUGGAGAAAAAGGAUAAUUUGAUUUGAGCUUGAACAGAACCACGAAGAUGACCAACAAUGUUGUAGCCAAAUCAAGCUACGUGUCAUAUUCCAGAACAAAACUACAGUAUAAUCUAACAGCCAAGAACAUAGUUGUUAUAUGUUUUUAGUGAUAGCCCUAUAUUCAUGCAACAAAUACUUAAUAUUUAUGCUCAUUAAUUAAAGUAACAAAUACUUACAUCAAUUAUGAAAUUAAUAUUUAACUAGGGGUGGGCAAUUGUGCAUCUGGUCGAAACUGGACCAGAUUAGGACUGAACUGGAUAAAUAUAGGGUGGGUGGGUCUCAGGCUGGUCAGGUAGUUUGAUCCCAGGUUUGGUUAGACUGAACCCAUUUUUUUGUUGAGCCAAUAAUCUUUGCUUUUGAAUUGAUUUGUAGGACAAGGUUUAUUUCCAUUGUUCAAUAAAAGUCAACUUGAUCAAUCUUUCAGGUGCACACUACCAAACUCCACAGAUGAAGAAAGUGACGAACUCUCAAACCACUGAUCAUAUGAACAGAGAUAACAAUUAGCCACUUAAUUUGUUUGCUUGUUUGUUCGCUUGAGUGGUUAAUUAGUGUAUAAAAAGAAGCGAUAACGGAUUUGAUUUUUAUAGGUCCUGGUUGUUCGUUGGUUGUAGAAAGGGCGUUUAUGAAGCACCCUCUGUUUAAACAAAGUGGUAGGUUGUGGUGGAGAUUGAUUAUAGCUGGAAUAAGGCUAUGACAUUGACUUUUGGGACAUCAAAGAUUAGGGUUCAUGAAAACCUAUAUGCCAGAGCAACUGGCAUAUUGAAUUGAGGCACAUGUAUUAUAAGUUUUUUGAGGUGGUUUGUUGAGAGUUUAUAUGAUUUAAUUGCUAAAUUUGGAUACUAUAUGGUCUAUUGCUGCAGUUUUGUUAUCAUAUACUGUGAAGUUUUCACUUUUACUCUUUUUUAGCUUUUGAUCUUACCAGAAAUCUAUAUUGUAAAGAUAAAAAAAUUCCUAUAUCCUGUUGUGUUAUUGCUGCAGUUUUAUGGUAGGUAGAUAAGAAGAUAAAUGGUCAAAACUGGGAUAAAAAUAAAUUCAAAUAUAGACAUUGUUCAAAAUAUUGAAUUUUAUGGACAUGUAUUAAGAGCCUGACAAAUAUAUACUCAAAAUGUUUAUUCAUGUGUUAUUCCUAGGAUUAUUAAGUUUGUGAUUAUUUUUAAAAAUUACAUGUUAAUUUGGAUUGGUAAACAUAGUAUUAGUGGGGAAAGGAAUGAUGGAAUCAAGAGAACUGACGGAGAUUAAAGGCGAAGCGUACGGGUGGUAGAGGAGGUCAAAGGCGAAGCGUACAGGUGAUAGAGGAGAUUAAAGGUGAAGCGUAUAGGUGGGCGAAGAGUUGAAGUCAAGGUUUGGGUCUGAACCAAGAGAAUUGGAGCAAUUUCACCAAAGUGCGCUUUGGCUAAUACACAUGGGUUUCUUUUUUUUUCUACUGUUUGGCUCUGUCUUUCAUUGUUUUGGUGGACUGCUCUCCUUAGCAGCUUGCUAAGGCCGGGUUGUUGUUUCCUGUGGUAAUAAAGUGGUUCUUUUGGCUGGCCAAAUAAAAAAAUGAAUGAUGGAAAGAAAAGCAUAGGUAGGAAAGUACAUGAUGGGUGUCAUAGUUAAUAGGUAUGGAUAAUUUUAUUUAAGUUGAAUUGAAGGAAAAUGUGGGUUGGGAUUGGAGGAUGCAGCAUUUUAAGGAAAACACAAACGCCUCUAGCGCAACGCGCUACAUCGAAAACACUAGUUUUCAUAAAAUGCAAUCAAAAAAUAAUUAAAAGAAAAAGGUGGAAAUGAUUCAAAACUCACAGGUGCUAAAACGCAACAAAGAAACAAAUAAGAAAGAUAAAGGUGGAAAUGAUUCAAAACUCACAUGUGCAGAGCAUACUUUUAGAAUUCAAAAAAUUAUACUACCAUUCAUCAACAAAUAAAAUAAAAACAAACUCAACACUCACAUGCAUGACCAUAAA
rnacentral:lncRNA from 1 species